rnacentral:rRNA from 1 species
CAGCAGCCGCGGGAAAACAGAGGGUGCGAGCGUUAAUCGGAUUUACUGGGCGUAAAGCGUGCGUAGGCGGCUAAUUGAGUCGGAUGUGAAAUCCCCGAGCUUAACUUGGGAAUUGCAUUCGAUACUGGUUAGCUAGAGUGUGGGAGAGGAUGGUAGAAUUCCAGGUGUAGCGGUGAAAUGCGUAGAGAUCUGGAGGAAUACCGAUGGCGAAGGCAGCCAUCUGGCCUAACACUGACGCUGAGGUACGAAAGCAUGGGGAGCAAACAGGAUUAGAUACCCGCGUAGUCCCUGUCUCUUAUAA